GUUCCCAGGGCCCCCAGUCUGAGGAGGGAGGCCCAGCCUAGCCCUCUGGAGGCUCCAACCUGAUGGGGGGAGGGACAUCCCUGCUUUCUGAACCCCCUGUCUGAGGGGGGAGACACAAUUGGCUCUCUGGAGACCCCCAUGUGAUGGAAGAGGCACAGCCCUGUCCUCUGGAAACCCUGUUUGAGGAGGGAAGUACGUUCAGGGUUGGGGGGAUGCAGCCUUGCUUUCUGAGACCCCAGUAUGAGGAGGGAGGCACAGCCCUGCCUGCUGGUGCCCUGAGGCUGAGGUGGGCAGAUGCAGCCCUAAUCUCAGGGAGCCCCCAGCCAAUCCUGCAGGAGCCAUUCACUCCCCUCCUUCUGGGAGCAGCGAAGAAGAGCAUGAGUUCAGCGCUGCGGACUACGCCCUGGCAGCAGCCCUGGCUCUGACGGCCUCCUCCGAGCUGUCUUGGGAAGCCCAGCUGAGACGCCAGACCUCUGCCGUGGAGCUGGAGGAGCGAGGGCAGAAGCGGGUGGGCUUCGGCAAUGACUGGGAGAGGACUGAGAUCGCCUUCCUGCAGACCCACCGGCUGCUGCGCCAGAGGCGGGACUGGAAGAUGCUGAGGCGGCGGACAGAGGAGAAGGUCCAGGAGGCCAAGGAGCUGAGGGAGCUGUGCUACGGCCGCGGGCCCUGGUUCUGGAUCCCUCUUCGCUCCCAUGCCGUCUGGGAGCACACCACGGUCCUGCUGACCUGCACUGUCCAGGCCUCACCACCACCGCAGGUCACCUGGUACAAAAAUGACACACGGAUUGAUCCCCGCCUCUUUCCUGCUGGAAAAUACCGAAUCACCAACAACUACGGGCUGCUGUCCCUGGAGAUUAGGAGAUGCACCAUUGAGGACUCAGCAACUUACACUGUGCGAGUGAAGAACGCCUACGGCCAGGCCUCCUCCUUCGCCAAAGUCCUCGUCCGCACUUACCUGGGGAAGGAUGCUGGCUUCGAUUCAGAGAUCUUCAAAAGAUCGAUGUUUGGCCCCAGCGUGGAAUUCACCUCGGUGCUGAAGCCAGUCUUUGCUCAUGAGAAGGAACCCUUCUCCCUGUCAUGCUUGUUUUCGGAAGAUGUGUUAGAUGCUGAGAGCAUCCAGUGGUUCCGAGAUGGGAGGCUACUGAGGUCCUCGAGACGUCGGAAGAUCCUCUACACAGACCGCCAGGCAUCCCUGAAGGUGUCCUGCACCUACAAGGAGGACGAGGGGCUCUACAUGGUCCGGGUACCCUCGCCCUUCGGACCCCGGGAACAGAGCACCUACGUGCUUGUGAGAGAUGCCGAGGCCGAGAACCCCGGGGCCCCAGGCUCCCCGCUGAACGUCCGAUGCCUAGAUGUGAACAGAGACUGCCUCAUCCUGACUUGGGCCCCGCCCAGUGACACCCGGGGCAACCCCAUCACUGCCUACUCCAUUGAGCGGUGCCAGGGCGAGUCUGGGGAAUGGAUCCCCUGCCAUGAGGCCCCCGGAGGGACUUGUCGGUGCCCAAUCCAAGGCCUCGUCGAAGGUCAGAGCUAUCGGUUCCGGGUGAGAGCCAUCAGCAGGGCAGGCAGCAGCGUCCCCUCCAAGGCCUCAGAGUUGGUUGUCAUGGGUGACCAUGAUGCAGCCCGGAGGAAGACAGAGAUCCCCUUUGAUCUGGGAAACAAGAUCACCAUCAGCACAGAUGCUUUUGAAGAUACUGUGACCAUCCCCUCACCGCCAACCAAUGUCCAUGCCAGCGAGAUCCGAGAGGCCUAUGUGGUUCUGGCCUGGGAGGAGCCGAGCCCCCGGGGCAGAGCACCACUGACGUACUCCCUGGAGAAGUCAGUCAUAGGUAGUGGCACCUGGGAGGCCAUCAGCUCGGAAAGCCCUGUGAAAUCCCCAAGAUUCGCCGUUCUGGACCUGGAGAAAAAGAAGUCAUAUGUCUUCAGAGUGCGAGCAAUGAACCAGUAUGGCCUGAGCGAUCCCUCAGAGCCCAGCGAGCCCAUCGCCUUGCGGGGCCCGCCAGCUACCCUCCCUCCUCCAGCUCAAGUUCAAGCUUUCCGAGACACACAGACCUCUGUCUCCCUGACAUGGGAUCCUGUGAAAGACCCAGAGCUCCUGGGUUAUUACAUCUACUCCCGGAAGGUGGGGACAUCUGAGUGGCAAACAGUUAACAACAAACCUAUCCAAGGCACCAGGUACGUCUGCCCACCCAUAGCAGUCUGUUCUCACACUGCUAUAAAGACAUACCUGAGACUGGGUAAUUUCUUUUAUAAAGAAAAGAGGUUUAAUCAGCUCACAGUUCUGCGAGCUAUACAGGAUUCUUUUUCUGGGGAGGCCUCAGGAAACUUAUGAUUAUGGCGGAAGGCGAGGGGGAAGGAAGCAUGUCUUACAUGGCGGGAGCAGGAGAGGGAGAAAGAGCAAAGCAGGAAGUGCUACACACUUCCAAACAAGCAGAUCUCAUGAGAACUUGCUCCCUAUCUUGACAACAGCAAAGCGGACAUCCGCCCCCAUGAUCCAAUCUCCUCCCACGAGGUCCCUCCCCCAACAGUGGGGAUUACAAUUCAACAUGAGAUUUGAGUGGGAGUACAGAGCCAAACCAGAUCACCCCUCUUCCUGCACCAGGCAUCCUUGAAAGGGGGCCAUAAUGAUAAUGAAGCCCAGCAUUUCACAGUAUUUACCCUGAGCCAGGUACUGUUCUGGCAUUUUUCAUAUGUGAGGUCAUCUAGUUCUACCUGCAAGCCUAAAUGUGUAAGACUAUUAUUUUUAUUAUUUUACAGAUGAAGAAACUGAGGCAUGGAGAGGUUACAUAACUUGCCAAAGCCCCCUGUAGCUUAGUAAAUGGCAGGACUGGGACUUGAACCCAGAUGGUCUUUUUCAACAAACCUUGUUGAGAAUGUGCUAUUUGCAGGACUCCAUGGAUAGAGAUGACCAUGCCUUGGUCUCAUCCCUCCAGGAGCUUAAACCCAGAGAGAGGUGGGGAGGGCAGAGCAGUGGAGAGCUUUGGAGCCAGGGAGGCCUGAGUUCAGGCUCCAUACCACCCCUCACCCUUUCUGUAUCAGUCAGGGUUCUCUAGAGGGACAGACUAAUAGGAUAGAUGUAUAUAGGAAAGGGAGUUUAUUAAGGAGUAUUGACUCACACAAUCACAAGGUAAAGUCGUACAACCGGCUGUUUGCAAGCUGAGGAGCGAGGAAGCCAGUCCGAGUCCCCAAACCUCAAAAGUAGGGAAGCCAACAGUGCAGCCUUCAGUUUGUGGCCGAAGGCCUGAGAGCUCCUGGCAAACCACUGGUGUAAGUCCCAGUCCAAAAGCUAAAGAACUUGGAGUCCAAUUUUCAAGGUCAGGAAGCAUCCAACAUGGAAGAAAGAUGAAGGCCUGGCUGAGAGGAGCUCCCUGCAAAACAAGAUUUGCUCUAGGAGAAUGUUGAUAGGUGAAGAGAGAGAAAGAGGUCCACAAUUGGGUUUUAUCAAGAAGGGACGGGAUAAGAAGGACAUUUUUCUCUAAGCCAGAGCAUCCUUGCGUGUCUCUGGAUGGCAAUUCUCUUUGAGGGCUCUGAAAGGACUCGGUGUUUUUGCAUCCCAGCAUUAGUGCAGGUAUUAACAGCCACAUGUUCUUUUUCAAGGACAAAGCCCAAAGUCUUGAAGAUGUACCAUGUGGCGCUGGGUCCGGGGUUGGCUGCCUUUGCUUUAAAUUAGAACCUUUCCUAGCAUAUUUGCAUUUUAAGGGUGGAUCUGGAAAAGCAAACAUCCUUUAAAACCCUUAGGUCUACCCCCUCCACGGUGUCAUCUCAGGCAUUGCCAUGGGAUCAAGGGCAAUAUUUUUAGGGAGAAUUGACCUGAACCUUCAAAUUCUACCACGCUGGUGACCACUUAUUCCACAAAGUUGUUCUAGCAAGUUUGGGAAUGUCUCCAGGCUGUUUGUACAUCCAUGAAAGCUGCACAUUUCUCUCCCAGGUUUACAGUUCCCGGGCUGAGGACGGGGAAGGAGUACGAGUUUUGUGUCAGGUCAGUCAGCGAGGCUGGGGUAGGCGAGAGCUCAGCCGCCACCGAGCCCAUCAGGGUCAAGCAGGCUCUGGGUGAGUCCAAGGGCAGGUCCAGCCUGCAAACCUCCCUGGGCUGGGCAGGGAGCUGGGGCUCAUAGAUCACAUCUUGGAGGGCCCAGUCCUGGUGGCCAGUGGCACAUACGCCCUCUGAGGGAAACUGGAGCUGGCCCUGGCUGCCCUUUCCUUUGGGAAGGAAGUAACCAUGGCUUGAGGCCAUGGGAUGGGGCCUGAGCAGCUCUGGGGGGUGGGGAAGCCCUCAGACCCAGAAACCUGAGGCUCCGAUGCCCUCCUGAGGCACAGAUACUACUGGCUCAGGGAAAAACCCCUGGAGUAGGGCAGGCACCAACUAGGGGAGGCUCGUCAGCUCCCUCAGGCCCCACUGUCCAAUCCAGCCACCCCUAGGGAGCAGCUGUCCUCACCUCCUUACCUCCCUAUAGCUACCCCGUCUGCCCCAUAUGGCUUUGCCCUCCUGAACUGCGGGAAGAAUGAAAUGGUCAUUGGGUGGAAACCCCCCAAGCGUCGUGGAGGUGGCAAGAUCCUGGGCUACUUCCUGGACCAGCAUGACUCGGAAGAGCUGGACUGGCAUGCGGUCACUCAGCAGCCCAUCCCCACCCGGGUCUGCAAGGUAAGGCUGGAAGGUGACCCCAUCAGCAGCCCAUCCCCACCCGGGUCUGCAAGGUAGGGCUGGAAGGUGGACCCAGCCUGUGUCAUGACUUGUUUAGCAGCGACCAGAGGGCACUGCUUGAGUCUUGGAGUCUGACAGAGUCUGACAGAGGUCUCAAGUUCCCCUGCCUCAGCCAUCGAGAUCAUUUUCCAGUGCAGACCCACCUUGAACAGAACUGUUUAGAGCCACCAAGCUUGAGCUGGGAUUGCUUGAGCUCAGGAGUUUGGGAGUUCGAGACCAGUCUGCAACAUGUUCAAAACCCUGUCUCGACAAAAAAUACAAAAAUUAGUUGAGUGUGGUGGCACGCACCUGUAGUCCUGGCUACUCGAGAGGCUAACACAGGAGGACUGCAUGAGCCCAGAAGGUUGAGGCUGCAGUGAGCCAUGUUCAUGCCACUGCACUCCAGCCUGGGUGACAAAGUGAGACCAUGUCUCAAAAAAUAAAAAUAAAAGCAAAGCCCCCACAG
rnacentral:sRNA from 1 species